rnacentral:rRNA from 1 species
UAUGGCGACCGGCGCACGGGUGAGUAACACGCAUCCAACCUGCCGAUGACUCGGGGAUAGCCUUUCGAAAGAAAGAUUAAUACCCGAUGGCAUAGUUCUUCCGCAUGGUAGAACUAUUAAAGAAUUUCGGUCAUCGAUGGGGAUGCGUUCCAUUAGGUUGUUGGCGGGGUAACGGCCCACCAAGCCUUCGAUGGAUAGGGGUUCUGAGAGGAAGGUCCCCCACAUUGGAACUGAGACACGGUCCAA